rnacentral:ncRNA from 1 species
AUAAUGAUUUCCCUACGGGGCUGGCGGAGAACCCGGCAGAGGUGAAACUCCUAUGA